AUAUAUAAAGUUGGACUGGACUACUAUUAGUAGCAAAAUUCUAUUGUUGCUACCAGGUUUGUAGCCUUUGGAUCAACUCUUUUCGUUAUUUCUAACCAUUGGAUUAAAUACUAUAACCCAGUGGGGACCGCUCAACCCUAGGGGGCUACUCAAAUCUAACCGACUAAUAUCAUCCUAACCUUACAAUUUUUCAUCCAAGGGUUAAAAACUUGAUAGCAAAAAGAACGUUUUACUAUUAAUAGUAUUCCAGCCUAAUUCUAUAUAUAUAUAUAUAUUCAAAAUUAUCAAUACUAUUUUUACCACUAUAUAUUAAUGAAAUAUAUCACGCUGAUU
rnacentral:lncRNA from 1 species